rnacentral:rRNA from 1 species
CAAAGCCCGUCAUUCUUCUCAUAGCGUAUAUUAAAGUUGUUGCAGUUAAAAAGCUCGUAGUUGAAUUUCGGGACCAUCAUGUUGGUCGUGCCAAGGGACGUACUGGGAUUGUUGGUUCCUCCCUUCUGACGAACCAUGAUGUCAUUUAUUUGGUGUUGUGGGGAAUCAGGACUGUUACUUUGAAAAAAUUAGAGUGUUUAAAGCAGGCACC